rnacentral:rRNA from 1 species
AAUUCGAAGCAACGCGAAGAACCUUACCUAGGUCUUGACAUCCCGAUGCUAUUUCUAGAGAUAGAAAGUUACUUCGGUACAUCGGUGACAGGUGGUGCAUGGUUGUCGUCAGCUCGUGUCGUGAGAUGUUGGGUUAGGUCCCGCAACGAGCGCAACCCCUAUUGCUAGUUGCCAUCAUUCAGUUGGGCACUCUAGCGAGACUGCCGGUAAUAAACCGGAGGAAGGUGGGGAUGACGUCAAAUCAUCAUGCCCCUUAUGACCUGGGCUACACACGUGCUACAAUGGUUGGUACAACGAGUUGCGAGUCGGUGACGGCGAGCUAAUCUCUUAAAGCCAAUCUCAGUUCGGAUUGUAGGCUGCAACUCGCCUACAUGAAGUCGGAAUCGCUAGUAAUCGCGGAUCAGCACGCCGCGGUGAAUACGUUCCCGGGCCUU